rnacentral:rRNA from 1 species
ACGCUGGCGGCAUGCUUUACACAUGCAAGUCGGACGGCAGCACAGAGAAGCUUGCUUCUUGGGUGGCGAGUGGCGAACGGGUGAGUAAUAUAUCGGAACGUACCGAGUAAUGGGGGAUAACUAAUCGAAAGAUUAGCUAAUACCGCAUAUUCUCUGAGGAGGAAAGCAGGGGACCUUCGGGCCUUGCGUUAUUCGAGCGGCCGAUAUCUGAUUAGCUAGUUGGUGGGGUAAAGGCCUACCAAGGCGACGAUCAGUAGCGGGUCUGAGAGGAUGAUCCGCCACACUGGGACUGAGACACGGCCCAGACUCCUACGGGAGGCAGCAGUGGGGAAUUUUGGACAAUGGGCGCAAGCCUGAUCCAGCCAUGCCGCGUGUCUGAAGAAGGCCUUCGGGUUGUAAAGGACUUUUGUCAGGGAAGAAAAGGCUGUUGCUAAUACCGACAGCUGAUGACGGUACCUGAAGAAUAAGCACCGGCUAACUACGUGCCAGCAGCCGCGGUAAUACGUAGGGUGCGAGCGUUAAUCGGAAUUACUGGGCGUAAAGCGAGCGCAGACGGUUACUUAAGCAGGAUGUGAAAUCCCGGGCUCAACCUGGGAACUGCGUUCUGAGCUGGGUGACUAGAGUGUGUCAGAGGGAGGUAGAAUUCCACGUGUAGCAGUGAAAUGCGUAGAGAUGUGGAGGAAUACCGAUGGCGAAGGCAGCCUCCUGGGAUAACACUGACGUUCAUGCUCGAAAGCGUGGGUAGCAAACAGGAUUAGAUACCCUGGUAGUCCACGCCCUAAACGAUGUCAAUUAGCUGUUGGGCAACUUGAUUGCUUAGUAGCGUAGCUAACGCGUGAAAUUGACCGCCUGGGGAGUACGGUCGCAAGAUUAAAACUCAAACGAAUUGACGGGGACCCGCACAAGCGGUGGAUGAUG